AAAGAAGGAAGGUGUUAUUGGGCCUAAGUGGGCUCAGGGCUGUAGAACAGCAGAGAGAGAAUCUCAUCCAACGAGCGUUAAAACUCAUCAAGCUGUGUCCCCGACCCAUGACAGGAGGGACCUUAGCAGUCUCUUGGGUGCCAAGUAGCCUCCAUACUUUCAGGAACUUGAGGAAACCACUGAGAAGCUGAGCUGGGUGAACUUCCUUCACUCCGGGAACUUGGUCACCGACUGUGUGAGUGGAGAAUGGGAGCUGAGCCCCACCCAGCACACAUGCAACUGUUGUCCUAGGCUUCUUGACACAGGUGUGAUGUGACCAGCUGACUGCUGUGACAUUCCCCAGCAUGAAGUACUGUAACCUGAACUCCACUUUAUGGUGCUAAUUAAAAAAAAAUACAUUUAUUUGUGCAUGUGUGUACGCAGGAGCUUGUGUAUGUUUGAGUGUAUGAGUGCAUGCUCACGCGUCACAGUGAAUGUGUGGAAGUGAGAAGGCAAUUUGCAGGUGUGAGUUGUCUCCUCCCAUGCUGUGUUGAAGGGUUUAAAUUCAGACUGGCAGCUGGGCAGGAGGGCGGAGCCUCUUUUAGGGAACUCCCUGCUCCCCCAGGGACAAGGACAAGGACUGAGGGUCCUCAGAGUUGGCUUCCUUCUGUAGCCAGCUUCAUUCUCUCUACAGAGCAGCCUCCCCUGCUUUCCUUACCUUGACCUUCAGGACAGUCCCCUGGAGACCCUUCAUCUCUGAGAUUCCCCUCGCCGUCACCCAGUUCCUGUGCUGGGAACGAGGGAGUUCGUUCCUCUAAGUUCCUCUAACUUAUCCCACAUAUCCAUCAUGGCAACGUGCAUGCCUAUGCACAAACAAAAUAAUAAACAAAAAGAAUUCUUUAAAAAAAAAAAGAAAGAAACUGAUAUCUGUAGAGAUCAGCCUGAGUUUAUUACUUUUUUCUUUUUUUUUUCUUUUUUUUUUUUUUUUUUUUUUUUUGGUUCUUUUUGAGACAGGGUUUCUCUGUGUAGCUUUGGAGCCUGUCCUGGAACUCACUCGCUAUUCUUUUUUUUUUUUUUUUUUUAAGUGGCUUUUACAAAGGUGAUUUUCCCACCCCUCCCCCAUUCUGGACUUCAAGUCUAAUUCCCUGCAGCAGCAUCAGAACACACCUCUGGUCCCUUUCUCUCCCGGACCUCUCCCUGCAUCUGUCCCCAGCCUGCCUUUAACAUAACUUUACAACGUUGUCACAACCUGGAAUUUAUUAACGUUCUAUAAAAAGAUAAUGGCCAGUGUGCCUACAAAGUCAAAUGCACUCUGGGAAUUUGUAGAUUAUUUAGCUUCUUGCUUGGAGUUGACGAAGAGCAUGGAACAAAAUAAAAUGACCAGAAGAAAAUCAUGGUGUGGCUUCUCUAGGUUGUAAACCUUCCCGGAAAGAAGAAAGAAAACCUCAGAUAAAACGGCAUGGCGCCCAGAGAUAACCCGAGGCACUGUGGAGAAUUCAGGAACUGUGUGGGACUUUAGAACCGGACAAAUGUCUGUUCUUCGUAUCUGUCCUUGCACUGUCUUAUCUGAAUGUAACCCUGGUGACUGUGCCCAGCCCAAUCAAGUCACCAACAUCCGUGAGAAGCAUAAUAGCUGAGGAGACUGCAAACUUUUACUUCCUGAAUAAAAUCUGAUAAGCCAUGUGGAUAGCCUUUGCUUGGAAAUGAGGGAGGAUUUGAUCUAAGCCAGUGCAUCGAGGUACCUGUGACAUACAAUUUUCUUCCUCUUUCAAGAUUAAAUGAGGGAGAACGAGAGCUGCAUUUUCUUAUUUCUGAUAAAUUUCUUGUUUGUUUUCAAAAUCAGAUCCCAAAUACUAGUCCGCAAGCUGUUUUGUUGGUGAAUUUUUUUAGGUUCGGGGAGCACAUCCUGCAAGCCUUUGCCAAGUGUGAAUUCAUUUCAGCAUCAGAAUACACAAAAAGGCGCAGAGAAAUGGUUACAGAAACGCAGGUCUUCCAGGGGAUGCUGGGUGGGGGGAGGCAAUCAUUUUAAUGACUUCAAAGGUAGACAACAUGGCCCAGCAGGUAAAAGUGAUUGGAGUGCAAGCCUAAUGGCCUGAGCUCUACCCCUGACUCCUGCACUUUCUUUGUCCUCUGACUUCCACUCAUGAGCAAUAGUAAGCAUGCACCCUUGCAUGUGUGCACAUUACUAAAUAAAUGUAUAAAAGUACUAGGAAAAUGUUUUAACAUAAUAUGGGGAUGGUGAGAUGGUUCAGCUUGUAAAGGUGACCUGAGUUCAAUCCCCAGUGUCAGAGUUUGGGUUGCUAUUGCUUCGAUGAAACACCAUGACUAAAAAGCAAGUUGGGGAGGAAAGGGUUUAUUGAGCUCACACUUCCACAUUUAUAGUCCAUCGUCAAAGGAAGUCAGGACAGGAACUCAAACAAGACAGAAACCUGGACACAGGACCUGACGCAGAGGCCAUGGAGGAGUGCUGCUUACUGCUUUAGUCCCCAUGACUUGCCUAUCCUGCUUUCUUGUAGAACCCAGGAGCAGCAGCCCAGGGAUGACACCACCCACAACAGGCUGGACCCUCCUGCAUUGACCACUAAUUAAGAAAAUGCCCUACGGGCCCGAUCUUAUGGAGGCAUUUUCUUUAGUUGGAGUUUCUUCGUAUUAGAUGAAUCUAGCCUAUGUCAAGUUGACAUAAAAACAGCCAGCACUCCUGGCAUCUACAUAGGUUGUCCUCUGACCCGUGUAUGCAAGCUGUGGCAUGUGCCCUUACCCAUGAAGAUCACGCACAUCCACAAUAAUAAAUGGUUUUUAAAAGAUAAUGCUGUCAAUUAAAACCGUUCACUUCAUAAAUCAAAAUGCCAAAAGCAACCCACAACCAUAACCACAAAUUUUAAGAUUUGAUUUUUUAUAGUUAUU
ensembl:lncRNA